rnacentral:rRNA from 1 species
GGGCCCGCACAAGCGGUGGAGUAUGUGGUUUAAUUCGAUGCAACGCGAAGAACCUUACCAGGGUUUGACAUCCUGCGAAUCUCUUGGAAACGAGAGAGUGCCUUAGGGAACGCAGUGACAGGUGGUGCAUGGCUGUCGUCAGCUCGUGUCGUGAGAUGUUGGGUUAAGUCCCGCAACGAGCGCAACCCACGUCGUUAGUUGCCAGCAUUUUGAGUUGGGCACUCUAGAGAGACUGCCGGUGAUAAACCGGAGAAGGUGUGGAUGACGUCAAGUCAUCAUGCCCCUUACAUCUGGGCUACACACGUACUACAAUGCUACGGACAAAGGGCAGCAAGUUCGCGAGGACAAGCAAAUCCCAUAAACGUGGCUCAG